AAGUGAUAACGCACCCGGAAUCACCAUAGUUACUGGGCCUCGUAAACCAGGCAAACUGGAGGAACAGCGCCUCAUAUUUCGCUUGGGCAGCAGACAACCCAGCGCUCUCGCUGCUCGAUGAUGAGAGCAGAUUUCAUCUUUACAAAAUGAGUGUAAUCCUGGAGCUCAUCUUCCGACAAAUGCUUGACCAGAAUAUCAUGGACGACUCGCUCCCUGUGAUCCACAUGUUCUUUCAGCUCUUUAGCCUCUUCAAGUUGUGCUAUGCUGCCUGAUCUGCAGAACCUUUCCAGCAAUUUUGGUUUCUAAUGAGCAAAUCAUGUCUGAUGCAUCUGAUGGCAAUUUUUUCAUGAGGAAAAGUAAAAUGAAUGUAAUGAAUUUCAUGAAUCUUCACACAGAUGACAUUUUCUAAGGUCCACAUAAAAAAAAUUGAUUAGUAAAAUUGAAACCCAUGGAAUUAAAUGGUAAUGACUUAAAAUAUAGAAAGCAGUCAUGGCAAAUGAGUGAUUUUAAGACCAGACCAUGGUAAACAUUGAUGAUCAGCAAGGAUCAAUGUUCGUACUGCCUUUAUUGAUAUAUACUUCAAUGUAGGUGAGGAAGAUAGAAGUUAACUGCAAGAGGGCAUAGAGCAAAAACAGAGGAAUUUUAUUGAAUGUUUAUAUUAUUAAAAAUGGACAGGCCACAACACUUCAAUUCUGGUCAACAAAUUUUGGGACGGUGUGUAGGGCAUCACAAGGUUGGAGGAAAUAUUCCAUGGAUAAGGUAUUUCAGAUACCAAGUUAGACGAGAUACACUUUGUUUGUUUGUUGGAAGGUUGAAGAAAGACAGCUUGAUGGAUGUGUACAACAUCCUGAUGAGUUUUGAUAAGGUGAAUGUAGAGAAACUAUUCCUUUGUGGAUGGUUCAUGGACCAGUGGACACGAAUGCAAAGAUUGAAUAAGGAAACAAAGAAAUACUUAAAUAUGCAGACUGAGCGAAUUAAAUGGAAAAUUAUUUAUAGAGAUACAGAGAAGAUUUGGGGGCAUGGGAUGGAUUAAAUUGUUCCGAAGUAGCUCGCCUGGAUCUGAGGGGAAAAAUGACUACAUUCUGUGUCAGAGUUCCAUGAUUUGAUUAUGAUGAUGGGAUCUUUGACAACCACCCAAGCCAACUGAUGAUGCCUGGGUUUAUUAUCUCAUCAAAGAUGAGUGCAACCUCUGUUAGUGUAAACUUCUAAAAGGAGUGAGGGGGAGAAACAGGAAACACACCCGAAAUGUUGUGUACGGUUUUACCAUUUAAGGAGAAAUCCAGUAGACUAAGCAGGGCUCGUAAUUAACGGUUUCCCGGGUGCCAAUUGCCACCUAAAGUCCUGCCAGGCAACCUAAAAGCCGUGCCAUUUUGCCCGGCUUGGCAAGCACCAGGGACACCUGCCAUUCAACUCUGAGCGGGGCCCCCCUCUCUAUCUCCACCCGCCAUCCGUGUCUGGGCCUCCGGGCUCCGCUCUAUGAUCUUUGGCUGGGUCUCUGCUCUCCGGCCGCUCCUCAUCCGCCUGCACGGCCGGCCGCCUUGCACA